rnacentral:lncRNA from 1 species
GCCAAUUUAACCGGCAGCCAUUUGCAGUCUCCAACACACAUACGAGACACUGAGACAGGCAGCAGCCAGGCAAGCAGCCUUUCUGUUUGAUUGCCUCGUGCACCAUUCGGUAGGAGGAGGCUUCCCCAUGGCCAUUUAUGGUUUUUAUUUUAGUUGAAUGCCUGCAAACGGCAGCCAGAAAAAAAGAAUGUAUAUUGAACGUCUGGAACUGGAGGAUGGCACUUGGGGAAUGUCGCUUGGGGCCACGUUUAUUGUAUUACCAUUGGCCAGACCUUUUUGCGGCUUUAAAUGGGUCGCAUAAUCAGCAAUUGAUAAUGUGGCCAGAGCCCAUAAUUGACUGCCGCAGCACACACAAGUUCAAAGGAAAGGCGGGACCUGGCACUGCGACUCUUUCUACCACUUAAAGAUAGACUGCGAAAUGCGCUUAACUCAUCCAAAAUAGCAAUUUUGGAUCCGUAUUCCCAUCUUCUGGUGUGCAGGAAAGUAAUCUUAAUUUGUGUUUUAUCAUUCGUGAAAUUGAAAGCGGCCGAAACAAAGUGGAAACAACUUGGACAGGUGUAAUUAUGGCCACAUCGCAGGGCACAGUACCGCACUGACGGCGCCACUCCGUCAAUAUCUUCAAUUAAACUUUCGCUUCAGCAUAAUUAAUUUGGAAUAGCAAGAGCCAAGGUGGAGGCGCCACUGUCUGCUUCAGAGUUGAAGGCUUGGCAGGUAAAUCGCUUAAAGUUCGGGCUUUAAAUUUCGGUGUGUUUCUGACCUUUCACCUAAUGACCUCGCCCACAGACUCUUGAACGCCUGGCUGGCUCCGACUAAAUCAAUUUGUACGCUUUUAAUUAAAUUCAAAUCAGCUUUGAGGUGAGUCGCAGGGAAUUUGCUUGGUUUGGUGUUGGCUUCGCCGCUGAUGGGACUGCAUGAUAUUUGAAUAGAUUAGUGGGGGAAAGGCGUUCAUAGACAUUGAUGGAGUGGUCUAAGGACAAGUCACGGAUGUGGAGAGUUGUCAAUGGAAGUGUUAGUGGCAUUAGAAGUAGAUUUGAUUAUGGUAGUAAUCGAAUUAUGUAUAUUGGUGCAGCUUAAAAGCAAGUUUUGAUGUGUAUAUUUUUGCAAUAAACUAUCGAAAGGUUCUUUGGAUCAGUGCAUGCAAAUAUAUUUUUCUUCUUGUGCAUCUCGUUCUCACUCUCUCUAGGGGUUCUGUCUCUCUUUCCCAUUGCAGCUUAGCUGUAAAGAGUGAGUUAUCUUGUCCAUGGCCCGCGUCAGCUAACGUUUAGAUUGAUUUUCCAUUUAUUUUUUUAGCUUUUAGCUUCUACACGAAAAUAUCACAAAGAUUACAAUGAAUUGUGCAUAUUGUUUGCCAUUUUGUGCAUUCAAUUCAGAAAGCAAAUGUCAUUGAUUUUUCUGCUAUGCAUGUCUAAUAAAUAACAGCCAAGCGCUCUUCAAAUACUUUUCAUGCAUUCAGUUUUCCAUUUUAAUAGUUUUAGCCAAACACAGGAACCAUAUGUGGUGUUGGCUCAACGGCAUAAUUCAAAUUCAUACACGAAAAAUGCCUAAAAUAGUCCGAAAAUCAAACGAGGGAAAUCAAACAAUUCUUUUACAAUAAACAACUAUUUAAUGACUAUUUUCCAAGCAAAUCACUUCACUGGCUCUACAAAUAGAUCGUUAUUGCGCACAUACGGGGCUCACUGUGCACAAAAUAAAUACAAACACACACCCACAGUGGGAGAGAAAAGUCCUUGGACAAAUAGCAAACGAAACGAUGAUGCAAAUGCAACCCAAUCGAAAAGUGCGAGAAAGGCCGCAGGGCUACUCGAAUGGUGUUUAGAGUAGGAGGGAUGGGAUCUGAUCCAUGACGGAAAUUGGAAAUUUCACACUUGAUGAUGGUCCACAAAUUGGUCAACAGCCGUCGCCAAUGCAAACAGAGAGAACAACAGGCGGCUGUCAGCCAUUGGCAUUAGUUGAUGGCUGCAACAAAAAGAAAAUAAAAUUGACUGGUUCGCCGUACUGCCCUGCCCGUGUUGGACGUACUGAAGAGAUGAACAAUUGGCCCAGAAAAAGGUAGCCUGACAUUUUGUGGUCACUGAUUGUGAGACUUUAGCCAUCGGCCAUAUACGGAAUCAAAUAACAGUUACGACCAGAACCGAAUCCAAACAGAAUAUACAUCAUGCCGUGUCCAUGUCCCAUUGUUGCUGGAUUUGAUUUCUGCACCUCCCCACUAAAAACCACACACAAAAGACUCUCCACUUCCCCUCAAUUUCUUUCCCUACAUUUCUCGCUUUUCUAUCUAUUUUUUUAGUUCACCAUUCUGUUGGAGUUGUCAUUUUGAAUGGCUGCUGCGUUUUUUGGGAAGCGUUUAAUAGAAUAAUUGGUAACGGUUUGAUGUCAGCAAAUGGAAAGGCAAGUCGUAGAGGGACAAAUAAAAACGAAAACAUUGAACUUUGAUUGUCCUAUAUUGGAAGCACUGGUGGUGGUUGGUUAUUUACAAUGAAAGUGGUGUAUAGAAUUUGUUUUCGGUCUAUAUCUAUCAGUCUAUAUAGCCAAGCCAGCUACCUCUCAGUGGGACUUUCAUUAAAAAUUCGGCAAUAUUGAAUGUACUUCAAAGAGUAUGUUGCAGGGGGGGUACUCUUUUUUGUCUCUUCUUUAUCGAAUUAUUAAUUUAAUGCUUUUAAUUCUUUUGGAUUUCUGUAUAUUUCUUUGCUAAUAAAGGGUUGCUCCCCCUCGGGAACACAUUUAUUUAGCAUUUUGGCCUCUGCCCAUAGAGAACUAACUUUACAUUAAAUGCAACUUUGCUGCUUCUACUACAGAAAUUUAUGUACUUUACUCAAGUCCGUUUUUAUUUCCGUGAGUUCCACACAACACAUUUUGACGUACCCAUGACACACCCAUAACCAUAAGUAAACACCAAUCCAAAUCUAAACCACAUAUGUAAUUGCAUAAUUUCCCCCUUUUAUGUCCAUAGUUUAAGUAAGAUUGUAACCUGAAUAUAAAUGCACAUGUCUCGGCAGUUGUCUCAAGGACCUCCUGCCAAUACAAUAACCACUUGACCAUGUGCCUUUGCUCCUCUGUCUGCCUAGCUCUGCUAUUGUUUUACCUUUUUUGGUAAAUAAAUAUUUAUAGCCCUUUUAAAUUGCGAUUUGUGUGAGUCUCUUUGUUGGUCUAUCAGACGUUGGGCUGCAGACGUUUUUCCUAAUUUACUUAAAAUAGAAUUGGAGCACAGAUCGUGCGAGUACGCAUAUGCUGGGCAUGUAAAUUCUUUUUCAAUUGUAUUUCAAUUCAAGUUUUAAAUUCAAUUUAGGCGGAAGGACAGGGGCAGGGGGCGAACAUUCCGCACAGUGCGGGGAGGGAACUGCAUGCACAUGGCGGCGGCUUUAACUUAAUCUGAUUGUAAUACGAUACACUUUACAGUUUCCACCGAUAGAAAUCAGCACCCACAUCAUCUCAUCUCCACGCCCUGCGCCAUUCGCCAUCGUUCGUUCCACCGAGACAGACAGAGAUGCCGCCUCCUCUCCUCUCCCCUACCCACUCAACCUUAUUCGCAGCUGUUGCUUCCAUUGUUGUUGGUCUUUGGGUUCUCUCUCUCUCUCUGUUCGACUGGGUGCUGGCAGCGAAUGCUGGAGGGCAUUUUGAGACGGAGGAUUCGCGCGUACAAAUCAAAUAAAUUAUCUGAGGAUUUACAGUAAUAAAGUAGUAGAUAAACCAAACCGAGCAGCACAGUACACAGUGGAAGAGAGGGAGUGAGAGUUGGUUGGGGAAUGUCUUGGGGUCUCUGGGCAAAUGGAAAUUCAGUUCAGGGUUCACUAAGUCCGGAAUGAGUUGUUAAUGCGGAGGGAGGAGUACGCGGUCCCGACUGUUCUUGGGGUUUUUGUGGUGUGGGAAGAGUUACUUGGAUGGGAGACUCUCCGGAUUGAGAUGAUUAGAAAGGAGCCUGAAGAUUCGAUACUUCCUUAUUUUGUUUUAAAUGACUCUGGGGAAUUUUUUGAGGAAUGCCGAACUUUUUCACAUUUUUUGCAUAAUUAAUUUCUUUAUUUACAUAAACACUUAAAAUGUUGCGGAUUUUCUUGAAAAGAUACUCAAUUGUGUGUACUCAAUUCUUAUUGUUUAUUUAUCAUCGAGCUAACAUAGAAUGAAAGCGAGAGUGAGAUUACUGACCUACCUCAACUUUGUGAUCUGUACAGCUACGCUCAGCCACUCAUUUUCGCUUUCGCUCUCCAGCGUCGUGGCAGAGGUAAAGCAGCGUGCUAACAGCGAACGAAAACAUGAGUGAGAUCUACACAUAUGUACAUAUGAACAUAUGUAUUCUCUUGCUGGGCCACUCACUUUCGCUUUCCUUCUAUGCUGUGGGAGAGGGAGACUUCGCCGAUUUGCAAGCCCAAGCAGCCUCUCAUCAACAGCCCACUCCCACAUACAAUACAUUCUUGCUCGCCUACUCAAUUUGGCUUUCGUUCUUUUACAGGUAGACGAAGACUCGAGCCGGCUGCGCUGCUGCGCUCUCAGCUUGCAGAAAGAGCUUGGGAGAGCAGAGACGAGCAGAAACGAAAGCCGAUCCGAUGUCAACGAAGAUAUUUGAGCUGCAUACGCAUGCACUCUCAUCACGCCAUUCUCACUUCCCCCCCGUCGCUCAUAUAAAACAGUCAAUUAAAUCAGAGGUCUCGUGCUGCGCACGCGACUAAAUGCACAGCUUAUUACGUUCAUUCAUUUACACAAAG